UACGUAGGGCGCAAGCGUUGUCCGGAAUUAUUGGGCGUAAAGAGCUCGUAGGCGGCUUGUCACGUCGGGUGUGAAAGACCGGGGCUUAACCCCGGUUCUGCAUUCGAUACGGGCUAGCUAGGGUGUGGUAGGGGAGAUCGGAAUUCCUGGUGUAGCGGUGAAAUGCGCAGAUAUCAGGAGGAACACCGGUGGCGAAGGCGGGUCUCUGGGCAGUAACUGACGCUGAGGAGCGAAAGCGUGGGGAGCGAACAGG
rnacentral:rRNA from 1 species